GGGAUUGUGCCAGCCGCCGCGGUAAUACGGAGGGUAGCAAGCGUUAUCCGGAUUCACUGGGUUUAAAGGGUGUCGUAGGAGGGACAGGGAAGUCAGUAGUWDHMUCUCCGGGCUUAACUCGGAAACUGCCGUUGAUACUCUCUGUCUUGAAUCUUGUGGAGGUGAGCGGAAUAUGUCAUGUAGCGGUGAAAUGCUUAGAUAUGACAUAGAACACCAAUUGCGAAGGCAGCUCACUACACAAACAUUGACUCUGAGGCACGAAAGCGUGGGGAUCAAACAGGAUUAGAUACCCUGUAGUCCACGCCCUAAACUAUGGAUACUCGACAUACGCGAUAAACUGUGUGUGUCUGAGCGAAAGCAUUAAGUAUCCCACCUGGGAAGUACGACCGCAAGGUUGAAACUUAAAGGAAUUGGCGGGGGUCCGCACAAGCGGUGGAGCAUGUGGUUUAAUUCGAUGAUACGCGAGGAACCUUACCUGGGCUAGAAUGUAGUCUGACCGUGGGUGAAAGCUCAUUUUGUAGCAAUACACAGAUUAUAAGGUGCUGCAUGGCUGUCGUCAGCUCGCGCCGUGAGGUGUUGGGUUAAGUCCCGCAACGAGCGCAACCCCCAUCAGUAGUUGCCAUCAGGUAACGCUGGGAACUCUACUGAAACUGCCGUCGUAAGACGUGAGGAAGGAGGGGAUGAUGUCAAGUCAUCAUGGCCUUUAUGCCCAGGGCUACACACGUGCUACAAUGGGACGGACAAAGGGCUGCCACUUAGCGAUAAGGAGCCAAUCCCAAAAACCGUCUCUCAGUUCAGAUCGCAGUCUGCAACUCGACUGCGUGAAGCUGGAGWWGMUAGUAAUCGUAUAUCAGCAAUGAUACGGUGAAUACGUUCCCGGACCUUGCACUACUACCGCCCGUM
rnacentral:rRNA from 1 species